rnacentral:rRNA from 1 species
GACGUAGGGUGCGAGCGUUGUCCGGAUUUAUUGGGCGUAAAGAGCUCGUAGGCGGCUCGUCGCGUCGGCUGUGAAAUCCCGUGGCUUAACUGCGGGCUUGCAGCUGAUACGGGCGGGCUAGAGUUCGGUAGGGGAGACUGGAAUUCCUGGUGUAGCGGUGAAAUGCGCAGAUAUCAGGAGGAACAUCGGUGGCGAAGGCGGGUCUCUGGGCCGAUACUGACGCUGAGGAGCGAAAGCGUGGGGGAGCGAACAGG